GGGGGCGUAGCUCAGCUGGUUAGAGCGCUGGCCUGUCACGCCAGAGGUCGCGGGUUCGAGUCCCGUCGCUCCCGCCA
rnacentral:tRNA from 3 species